rnacentral:rRNA from 1 species
AUACGGAGGGUGCAAGCGUUGUUCGGAAUCACUGGGCGUAAAGGGCGCGCAGGCGGUUUGGUAAGUCAGAUGUGAAAGCCCACGGCUCAACCGUGGAAGUGCAUUUGAAACUGCCAGACUUGAGUACCAGAGGGGAAAGUGGAAUUCCCGGUGUAGAGGUGAAAUUCGUAGAUAUCGGGAGGAAUACCGGUGGCGAAGUCGACUUUCUGGCUGGAUACUGACGCUGAGGCGCGAAAGCGUGGGGAGCAAACAGGAUUAGAAACCCCUGUAGUCC